CCUACGGGAGGCAGCAGUGAGGAAUAUUGGUCAAUGGGCGCGAGCCUGAACCAGCCAAGUAGCGUGAAGGAUGACUGCCCUACGGGUUGUAAACUUCUUUUAUAAAGGAAUAAAGUGAGGCACGUGUGCCUUUUUGUAUGUACUUUAUGAAUAAGGAUCGGCUAACUCCGUGCCAGCAGCCGCGGUAAUACGGAGGAUCCGAGCGUUAUCCGGAUUUAUUGGGUUUAAAGGGAGCGUAGAUGGGUUGUUAAGUCAGCGGUGAAAGUUUGUGGCUCAACCAUAAAAUUGCCGUUGAAACUGGUUGUCUUGAGUAUAUUUGAGGUAGGCGGAAUGCGUGGUGUAGCGGUGAAAUGCAUAGAUAUCACGCAGAACUCCGAUUGCGAAGGCAGCUUACUAAACUAUAACUGACACUGAAGCACGAAAGCGUGGGGAUCAAACAGGAUUAGAUACCCUUGUAGUC
rnacentral:rRNA from 1 species